UGGGGAAUAUUGCGCAAUGGGGGAAACCCUGACGCAGCAACGCCGCGUGGAGGAAGAAGGUCUUCGGAUUGUAAACUCCUGUCUUCUGGGACGAUAAUGACGGUACCAGAGGAGGAAGCCACGGCUAACUACGUGCCAGCAGCCGCGGUAAUACGUAGGUGGCGAGCGUUGUCCGGAAUUACUGGGCGUAAAGGGCGCGUAGGCGGCUCUUUAAGUCAGAUGUGAAAACCCAGGGCUUAACUUUGGGAGUGCAUUUGAAACUGAAGGGCUCGAGUGCAGGAGAGGUAAGUGGAAUUCCUAGUGUAGCGGUGAAAUGCGUAGAUAUUAGGAGGAACACCAGUGGCGAAGGCGACUUACUGGACUGUAACUGACGCUGAGGCGCGAAAGCGUGGGGAGCAAACA
rnacentral:rRNA from 1 species